GAUCUGAGCAUGAUAGCCAGGUGCCAGCUGUUGAGCUACACUUGCAACCCUUCAAAAUGUGACUGUUAGAAAUACUAACACGGAAAUGUCUGUACCUAUGCAAUGCUAUAUGACAGUCAUGGGCAUCCGAAAAAGAGAAGACAACAAUUUCCCUUGAGCCAGAUGACCAAUGGCCAGUAGAGACUCAGAGGGGACUGAGUGGGGCCCAGUGGUCAGCAAAUACCCUCGAUUCCUCUACCCACUGGACGUUGUGUAGCUAACUGGAGUGGCACCUGACUGACUGUGCUUGCUAACUCUGGAGGGUCCUGAGCUUAGCUUGGUCAACCCCAUGGAGGUGGUGUGUGCACCUCUGAGCAGCAGCAGAACUUAAGGUGAGCACAGGAAAGAUCCAGGAAAGAUUUAUCUAUAUUUCCAUUGAACUUUUAUUUAAAUGAUACCUCUUAGGUAUUCUUCUGUUAUUAAAGGUGGUUAGCUGGAGAAAAUUAUGAAUUUAGGAAAAAUAUGAAAGAAAACAAGCAGUGACCUCAAUCAAAUACAGCUACUGUCUCGCAUAUUCCUAUCUAUGCUUUACUUACAGGCAGAUUAUCUCUAAGGCUGCUCUCUAGGGGCAUGUGCUAAUUUAAAAAUCUUGUCCAUCUCAGCCUGACUGCUAACAACUCAUCUUAGACAACAUCCUUUUUACACCUCAUUACACGCCUCUGAACUGACAGUUAUCUUUCAGAGAACCGGGAAAAAAAUCAUGUAGAGAUGCUGACUCUCCAGUGAAGAAACACUUAGUACAUUAAAGUUCCCCCCGGGCUCAGGAAUAAAGAAGCGCGCGCAUGCUUUCCUACGCUGAUGGAACUUAGAACAGGGCGCUCUGCUAUCGAUGACCUGUAUUAAUGCCACGCAGAACAAGAUCUGGCAAGCGCCCUCCCAAUUCUGCAGGAACACUCUGUUCACACCAUAAAGCUUGAGGGAAAAGGUUAGACACCUCAUUACAACGGACAAGUCUACAGACUCACAUUAAACAAUGCUGAAGUAUGGCUUUCCUCAGCGUUGGUGGCAACUCAAGCCACCCAAGCACCCUGCAGCAUGACUGUCUGCACUUCAGCAUCAAAGCAGACAUGUGACCACUGCUCUCAGCCUGAAUAAAUCCUUGCAAGUCAUUCAGGAGGAAAGCACGAGCUUUGCACAAAGCGCUGAGGCUGAACUGGGAGAGCGCUGCCUUUACUCUUCAGCUUUCGGACAGACCACCAUUUUACAGUUACUAACUGUGAGCCUGCCUUCCUAGCUACGGAAGCCAAUACGGUACCUGUAAGGUCUCUCUGCAGACGUAGGCUAUUUGCAUUUCAGAUAAUGGCCCAGUCACUAGAAAGAAACAACAACAACAUAUUGUCAUUUGAAGCCAACAUUAAAAACAGUCUAGCCAUAAAGUUAUAAAGCAGCGUAUAACUUCUGCAUGUAUCACUGGAUGCCUUCUUUUCUGACUAAGAGCAGACUGCAUUUGCAUAAUUUAAAUGAAACAAACACUGAGAAUUUUAAAGUCAAUUCUGAAAAUAAGAGCUUUAUUCCCAGGCAGCUCUGGACAGUGAACAUGGAAAGUGCCCAUUAUGUGUAAAACUUAGUGCACGUGGCACACACAGGUCCCCAGAGAGCCAGGACUGUCAGCUCAGUCCUCAAACAGUCUCAGGAACUAAGCCAGGAGCAUGGCUGACUCUGUUCGCGAGUUACUAGCAGAGGCAUAGAGCACUGGAGGAGACCUGCUCCUGACCUCUGAGAAUAUGCAUGCGCAGGGCAUGUGCACACACGCAAAACAGUCAUAACACAAAACAAUAUAAAGACCUUAAAGGUUAGUUAGAAGUAGCCGCUUGGAAACUAGUCUAGUGACACCUUUAACAUGUUCUCUAUGCGUUACGAGGGCUGAAACCCCAUGAGUUUAUGCUUGUGGAGUCGAGAUGAACUUUCUAGAGCAAGUCCCUCAGAACAGGCAGGCCUGGUUCAGAACCUUACCAAAGAUCAAAAGGAACCAGAUGAUCUCUGGAAAGCAGAUCUUCCUCUACCAUGAAAUAGAAAAUCCUUAUGCAAGAAUCCCAUCGGGAGCUUCGAAACAGCACCUUUUGUACACGGGAGGAAACUGGUGCGCUGCCUGCUGAUGCUGAGACCCGGACUAGAGCUGACACAACAUCUCCGCAUAGAGAAAGCCCUUGAUGCUUCCUUUCAUUUCUGACUGACCACACCUACUUCCUGACACUUUCUGAUCCUUAGUAAACUGAUAAAAGAGCAUCGUACAAAGUGAAGCUGCUUUAUUUUACACGCC
rnacentral:lncRNA from 1 species